rnacentral:lncRNA from 1 species
CUCUACUACCUUUGUUUUUUUUCUAAUUAAACUGACUGCACUUUCUAUGUUAAGUACUUCUAGAAAACACAAUCUAAAUAUAUUUUUAACAAAACUUUUUAUUUUAACUCUCUAUCUUUUAAGCCGCUUCAAAUACUCGAUUGAUCUCUUUGUUUACAGAACCAGUUACGACCUUUACCAAACAAUAAUGACUAACAACAGCC